AGGUCGGUUGUUAUCCAGAGUUAUUGGCUUAUGUCAUCCUCCUCGGACCAAACUUACAAUGGGGUCCAGGUUAUUUUGGUCUUAUGCCAAAGUAUCUCGUUUGGUGAAAAAUGGCUCACUUGAAUGACUUAUUCCUCAAUACUUGCCUGCCACUCCCAAGUCCAAGGUGGGUUCCUCACUUUGGACAAUGAGAGUAGUUUGUUGAGUGAGCCAUUUUUGAUCAUCGGGUGCAUCC
rnacentral:lncRNA from 1 species